rnacentral:rRNA from 1 species
UACGUAGGGGGCUAGCGUUGUCCGGAAUCACUGGGCGUAAAGCGCGUGUAGGCGGCCCACUAAGUCUGAUGUGAAAGCCCGGGGGCUCACCCCCCGGAAGUGCAUUGGAAACUGGUGGACUCGAGUCCCGGAGAGGAGAGUGGAAUUCCCAGUGUAGAGGUGAAAUUCGUAGAUAUUGGGAAGAACACCGAUGGCGAAGGCAGCCAUCUGGACCGACACUGACGCUGAGGCGCGAAAGCGUGGGGAGCAAACAGG